AUGGAGGGCUGGUUAAGUUUGUGUUUCAUAGCUCUAUGCACGCUUGUGGCCCUCUGGUUUCGCAAGCUCUCUGGGGGCAAGAGAAAGCCACAACUGCCUCCUGGGCCAUGGACUCUUCCCUUCAUCAAAAGCCUCCACCACGUCGCCAGCGUGCUCCCGCACCGCAAGAUGAUGGAGAUGUGUCGCCGGCAUGGGCCGCUGAUGCACCUUAUGCUCGGCGAGGUCCCAACGGUGAUCGUCUCCAGCGCCGAGGCGGCGGCGCUGGUGAUGAAGACCAACGACCUUGCCUUUGCUGGCCGGCCUCGCAGCGCGACGCUGGACAUCUUCGGCUGCGGCGGGAGGGGCAUCGUCUUCGCCCCCUACGGUGACCCAUGGCGCCAGAUGCGCAAGGUCUGCACCAUGGAGCUCCUGAGCUCCAAGCAGGUGAGGCGUAUGGACGCAACGACGUGGUGUCGCGGGCGGUGUUUGGCGGCAAGUUCCCGCAGCAGGAGGAGUACCUCCGGGAGCUGGAUGAGGCGUUCGUGCUGCUAG
rnacentral:rRNA from 1 species